UCUUAAAAUCCUAAAAUCCUAUGCCACCUCCGUUUUUAGGUGCAUAUUUGUAAGAGUAAAUCACUUUCACCAUUCGUUCUUGCCAAUGCCUUCACCAGAAAGGAAAAUGAACUGUUGGUUUAUUGUCUUUUAUUUCUGAUAUAGACUGCGCUGCCACCAAUGUGAAGCUUGGUAAAAUCCAAAAGGACAAAUCAAUUCUUGGAAUCUCUUGAAGCAGGAGGUGAAGUAAUUUGAGAAGACGUAUAGCCAAAAGCAGGCCAGACCAGAUCGACUGUGCCACCACCAAUGUGAGUCUGAAGUGUGAUGGUCUAAUGAGUAACUUUGAUGUUGUUGUUGCAGGAAAUUUGUCAUUUCAGUUCUUAGAAGAUGGUCAAAUCCAAGUUUAGGUGCUCUCCUCUUCUCUCACACAAGCAUUCUAUUUCAAUUUCCUUUGCUUAUCCUAUUAGUUUGGUGUGCGUACAUACUGUUAAGUUAUUUAUUCUGUUUGAAUUCUUCCAUUUGGGGGUUAUUUCAUUGCUUUUUCUGGAAUGAAUAGAUUUGAGAGAUGAGAGAAUCAGGGAUACCCUCUAGAAAGAUUAAUCCGAUCCAUAAUGAUAUACAGAAAAUACAACAUUUUUUUGUUACUCUAACGAACCAUCUAGAGAAGUCAGUAAGUAGAUGGGUACAGUAAGUAGAUUGAUGAAGAAGCAAUUAAUGCAAAAACACCUAGUUCAUUAUCAAAAGUACUCUUCUUCCGAGCAUGCUGACUAUUCUGCAGUGUAGUAGCAAUCGAUGAAGUACCAUAAGGUUCUUGCUAACUCUUAUAAAGUCUCGAAUAUUAAACCCAUGAUUAAUUGCCCAAUGUAUUAGAUUAAGUGCUUAAUCACUUCGCAGUGCGUGUUUGAUGAAAACACAGGUUAUAUUGUAUGCCAAGUGAUGGCUGCCCCUUGAAAGAGAGAAAGGAAGCUGCUCUGUUGGGCCCAAGAAAUUAGUGCUCUACUCAGCUGUACACUUUUGUAGCUGAAGUGGGCUUUUUGCUUUCCUUCUCUAUCGUAUCACUUCCUCCAUUGAUUUUGCUAGUGGACUUUGCUAAAACUUGCGCUAAAAGUCAAAUAUAAUAUGCUUGUCAGAUUGAUAUUUAGUGGGUCCAAUGGGGCUCGAUUACUAAUUUUUUUAUGAUUGAUAUGUGCCUUGUAGAUGCUAUGUAAAACACAUUGAUGAAAUUGCUAUUAUCCUGUGACAUUUUCUGCUUCUGAUUGUUACUUUGAUUUCCUUAUUAAGUCGUAAUUUUUUAUCUGCUAAACGUUGUGAUCUCUGAAUGUUUGAUCUGAGAAUUGUUUUGAUCUCUGUACCUCUUCCAUCUAUUCGUAGGCGCCAAGUGUUAGGCAGUUUGAUGGGAGUGGAGGUAAGAAAUUUGAGUUUAUCCAGUUUAUGGGUAUUGGAUUUAAGUUCUAAUGGCUUCAAUUUGUCAUGACAACAAUUUACAGUUUUUAGAGGUUAAUAUUCUCCGCUUAUGAUAGCAAAUGAUACCUCUGGAAGCUGUGACUUGGUCCAAUGUUUAGGGUUACAGAUACUGUUUUUGUUUCCCUUGUCUGGAAUGCAUCGGUGUGACUGCACCUUAUAUUUGGUAUUAUUUGGAAUUAAACAUAAUUUUUACUAGUGGUUAUGUGAUGAGACCCCUAGUGUGCUGAUCUAUUAUAGGAAACAUAAGGGUGUGAAGCAGGGGAUUUUGGUGCAGUUGGCAGGAAGGUUCUUGUGUGUGAGGUGUUAAGGAUGGUUUAUGGAGUGGCAGAUGGCAUUAAGGGAGUGGAUGAUUGAAGAAGUUUGUUAUGAAGAAUAGCAUAAAAAGGGAGACAGUGGGAAUUGGGGGGAUAUCUGAAAAAGUAAGAAGGGGAAAUUUGGCAGGGGAGGUGCUGGCCCUCAAAGUCCAACUGGUUCUUCUUAUUUUACUGUUCUGUUCUUGUUAUUUUGUUCUCGUUGGUGUUGAUUUUCGUUGGUAGAAUUAACUAGUGGAUUGGCUGGAAUUCAAUCAGUAGAUAUAUAUUAAUUUCGAAUAGUGUUUGCUUGACUGUUCUAGGUUGCUUAUCUGUUUUUAUCUGAAAUUGUUAUCUGUGUUCGUUGUGGAAUUCUGGAGUUUGUUAGUUGCUGGGUUCUGAGUAAGUGGUGACUGAAGGUGAGAGUCUGGGUAUCUACCAUUAUGAUACUAUUUUUUUUAUCCCUACAGCAGAAUGUUGAUUGAAAAUAUACAUAUAUGAAUUGUUAUACCUAUGUUUCAAUCCUGAAAAACAAAAAUGUUAUGCCUGUGAUAUAGUUAUUUACAGUAGAGCACAGCUGGUGUUUCUAAUUUUUAUUUAUUUCUUUUUGUUAAAUGUAGUUUUUCUAACAAUUAUCUAUAUUUUAUUGUUCAUAUUAUUGAAAAUAACAGUGUGUUUGCUAGUUUAAAUAUUUAAAUUGGGGCUCUAAAACCCUUUAAAAUUUUGGUAGAUUUAAAAUUGAUAACUAAAUUUUUAUC